rnacentral:tRNA from 2 species
GUUUUAAUAGUUUAUUAAAAAACAUCGGCCUUGUAAGCCGAAAAUAAGCAAGAGCCCCCCUUUUAAAACU